GAUGAACGCUGGCGGCGUGCCUAAUACAUGCAAGUCGAGCGAACAGACGAUGAGCUUGCGCCUCUCACGUUAGCGGCGGACGUGUGAGUAACAUGUGGAUCACCCACUUAUAUGACUGGGAUCACUUCGGGAAACCGGCGCUAAUCCCAGAUGAUAUAUUGAACCGCAUGGUUCAAUAGUAAGAGACGGCGUUGCUGUCACUUAUAGCUGGAUCCCCGCCGUUUUAGCUAGUUGUUAAGUUAACGGGUUACUAAGGCAAGGAUGCGUAGCCGAAGUAAGAGGGGGAUCGGCCACACUGGAACGGGACCGCGGUCCAGACUCCUACGAGACGCAGCAGUAGGGAAUCUUCCGCAGUGGGCGGAAGCUUGACAGAGCAACGCCGCGUGAGUGAUAAAGGUCUUCGGAUCGUAAAACUCUGUUAUUAGGGAAGAACAAAUGUGUACGUAACUAUGCACGUCUUGACGGUACCUGGUCAGAAAGCCACGGCUAACUACGUG
rnacentral:rRNA from 1 species